CACGUAGGGCGCAAGCGUUGUCCGGAAUUAUUGGGCGUAAAGAGCUCGUAGGCGGUCUGUUGCGUCUGCUGUGAAAACCCGGGGCUUAACCCUUGGCUUGCAGUGGAUACGGACAGACUAGAGGUAGGUAGGGGAGAAUGGAAUUCCCGGUGUAGCGGUGAAAUGCGCAGAUAUCGGGAGGAACACCGGUGGCGAAGGCAGCUCUCUGGGACGGUACUGACGCUGAGACGCGAAAGCGUGGGGAGCGAACAGG
rnacentral:rRNA from 1 species